UACAUGAGGUGCAAACGUUGCUCGGAAUCAUUGGGCGUAAAGCGCGCGUAGGCGGUUACUUAAGUUGGAUGUGAAAGCCCUCGGCUUAACUGAGGAAGUGCACCCAAAACUGAGUAGCUUGAGUACGAAAGAGGGUCGCGGAAUUCCCGGUGUAGAGGUGAAAUUCGUAGAUAUCGGGAGGAACACCAGUGGCGAAGGCGACUUCCUGGCCUGUUCUUGACGCUGAGGCGCGAAAGCUAGGGGAGCAAACGGG
rnacentral:rRNA from 1 species